GUAGGGAAUAUUGGACAAUGGGCGAAAGCCUGAUCCAGCCAUGCCGCGUGUGUGAAGAAGGUCUUCGGAUUGUAAAGCACUUUAAGUUGGGAGGAAGGGCAGUAAGUUAAUACCUUGCUGUUUUGACGUUACCGACAGAAUAAGCACCGGCUAACUUCGUGCCAGCAGCCGCGGUAAUACGAAGGGUGCAAGCGUUAAUCGGAAUUACUGGGCGUAAAGCGCGCGUAGGUGGUUUUGUAAGUUGGAGGUGAAAUCCCCGGGCUCAACCUGGGAACUGCCUCCAAAACUGCAUGACUAGAGUACGGUAGAGGGUAGUGGAAUUUCCUGUGUAGCGGUGAAAUGCGUAGAUAUAGGAAGGAACACCAGUGGCGAAGGCGACUACCUGGACUGAUACUGACACUGAGGUGCGAAAGCGUGGGGAGCAAACAGGAUUAGAAACCCGGGUAGUCC
rnacentral:rRNA from 1 species